UAAACAAAGGCCAAGGUUGUUCCCAUAUAUAAGAGUGGCGACCGAAAUGAUUAUCAUAAUUACAGGCCCAUGUCUGUACUAUCCGUAAUUAACACAGUCUUUGAAAAACUUGUUAGUGUUAGAGUCAAUUCUUUUUCAGAAAUGUUUCAGCUUUUUUCUUCCGAGCAACAUGGCUUUCGAGAAAAGCAAUCCACUUCUUCCGCUGUACUAAUUGCCACAAAAUUUAUUAAUAACGUGUUAAAAGAUAACCUUGUAACCUUCCCUGCUGGCAUCUUUCUAUACUAAAAAAAAAGCAUUUGACACGAUAAACCACAAGAUCGUGUUGACAAAAAUGGCUUCCAUGGUCAUGCCUUCAUUUUUUUUUCAGAGUUUUGCAGCAGUUACCUGUCUUCACAAACACAAGCAGCUGUACGUAACAAUGUUCCCUCCCAGCCUCUGUGUACCUCUAUAGGAGUCCCACAGAGCUCAGUUCACUUGUUACAUCCCAAACUGAGAUUGACGAGGGAGAAGGAUUUAGACAACUCCAAUCUUAGGAAGAUCAGUAAUGUAUAUGGUCACAAGUCUGCAGCAUUUCAAGGAGAAGAUAUGGGAUUCUGUAGACACAAAUAGAGUGCAUAAUAUUAAACCUGCCCUCACUA